rnacentral:sRNA from 1 species
GCUGGGCGCAGUGGUGCACACCUGUAAUCCCAGCGGCUUGGGAGGCUGAGACAGGAGAAUCAUGAGUUCAAAGCCAUCCUCAGCAAUUUAGUGAGGCCCUAAGCAACUUGGUGAGAUCCUGUCUCUA